rnacentral:rRNA from 1 species
UACGUAGGGGGCAAGCGUUGUCCGGAAUCAUUGGGCGUAAAGAGCGCGUAGGCGGUCCGGUAAGUCCGCUGUGAAAGUCAAGGGCUCAACCUUUGAAUGCCGGUGGAUACUGUCGGGCUAGAGUCCGGAAGAGGCGAGUGGAAUUCCUGGUGUAGCGGUGAAAUGCGCAGAUAUCAGGAGGAACACCAAUUGCGAAGGCAGCUCGCUGGGACGUUACUGACGCUGAGACGCGAAAGCGUGGGGAGCAAACAGG